rnacentral:rRNA from 1 species
UGCAGUCGAGCGGUAGAGAGAAGCUUGCUUCUCUUGAGAGCGGCGGACGGGUGAGUAAUGCCUAGGAAUCUGCCUGGUAGUGGGGGAUAACGUUCGGAAACGGACGCUAAUACCGCAUACGUCCUACGGGAGAAAGCAGGGGACCUUCGGGCCUUGCGCUAUCAGAUGAGCCUAGGUCGGAUUAGCUAGUUGGUGAGGUAAUGGCUCACCAAGGCGACGAUCCGUAACUGGUCUGAGAGGAUGAUCAGUCACACUGGAACUGAGACACGGUCCAGACUCCUACGGGAGGCAGCAGUGGGGAAUAUUGGACAAUGGGCGAAAGCCUGAUCCAGCCAUGCCGCGUGUGUGAAGAAGGUCUUCGGAUUGUAAAGCACUUUAAGUUGGGAGGAAGGGCAGUUACCUAAUACGUGAUUGUUUUGACGUUACCGACAGAAUAAGCACCGGCUAACUCUGUGCCAGCAGCCGCGGUAAUACAGAGGGUGCAAGCGUUAAUCGGAAUUACUGGGCGUAAAGCGCGCGUAGGUGGUUAGUUAAGUUGGAUGUGAAAUCCCCGGGCUCAACCUGGGAACUGCAUUCAAAACUGACUGACUAGAGUAUGGUAGAGGGUGGUGGAAUUUCCUGUGUAGCGGUGAAAUGCGUAGAUAUAGGAAGGAACACCAGUGGCGAAGGCGACCACCUGGACUGAUACUGACACUGAGGUGCGAAAGCGUGGGGAGCAAACAGGAUUAGAUACCCUGGUAGUCCACGCCGUAAACGAUGUCAACUAGCCGUUGGGAGCCUUGAGCUCUUAGUGGCGCAGCUAACGCAUUAAGUUGACCGCCUGGGGAGUACGGCCGCAAGGGUUAAAAACUCAAAUGAAAUUGACGGGGGCCCGCACAAGCGG